CUAAGCAUAUCAAUAAGCGGAGGAAAAGAAACCAACAGGGAUUACCUCAGUAACGGCGAGUGAAGCGGUAACAGCUCAAAUUUGAAAUCUGGCUCUCUCGGGGUCCGAGUUGUAAUUUGUAGAAGCUGCUUUGGGUGUGGUCCGGGUCUAAGUUCCUUGGAACAGGACGUCAUAGAGGGUGAGAAUCCCGUAUGUGACUCGGUACCUAUCCUCUGUAAAGCGCUUUCGACGAGUCGAGUUGUUUGGGAAUGCAGCUCAAAAUGGGUGGUAAAUUUCAUCUAAAGCUAAAUAUGGGCCAGAGACCGAUAGCGCACAAGUAGAGUGAUCGAAAGAUGAAAAGCACUUUGGAAAGAGAGUUAAACAGUACGUGAAAUUGUUGAAAGGGAAGCGCUUGCAACCAGACUUGCGCCCUAGCGAUCAUCCGGGGUUCUCCCUGGGGCACUCGAUAGGGCUCAGGCCAGUAUCGGUUCCGGUGGUGGGAUAAAGGUUUAGGGAAUGUAGCUUCUCUCGGGGAGUGUUAUAGCCCUAGGUGGAAUGCCGCCUACUGGGACCGAGGACCGCGCUUCGGCUAGGAUACUGGCGUAAUGGUUGUAAGCGACCCGUCUUGAAACACGGACCAAGGAGUCUAACAUCUAUGCGAGUAUUUGGGUGUUAAACCCAUCUGCGUAAUGAAAGUGAACGGAGGUGAGAACCCUCAAGGGUGCAUCAUCGACCGAUCCUGAUGUCUUCGGAUGGAUUUGAGUAAGAGCAUAGCUGUUGGGACCCGAAAGAUGGUGAACUAUGCCUGAAUAGGGUGAAGCCAGAGGAAACUCUGGUGGAGGCUCGCAGCGGUUCUGACGUGCAAAUCGAUCGUCAAAUUUGGGUAUAGGGGCGAAAGACUAAUCGAACCAUGAGAGGAGAGAAGAGGCCUGAGCAUGAGAGUGGGCCUAGGGCGGCACAACUCCCAUGCCCCGCGUCUAACUAGGUGGUUAACAGUAUCUAGUCAGCUAGUCCUUUGUCUAGGGCAACACUAUCAAAUUGUUCGGGGACGUCCUGAUAAUUACUAAGCUACCGCAGCCGCUCUGAAAAGGCGGUGCGCACCAAGUUAAUGACUUUGGGGAUGGUAAUAAUGCUUAGUUGGGGAUAAUCCGCAGCCAAGUCCUAAGGGCCUCGAGGGUGCCUAUGGACUCUGUUCACAGACUAGAUGGUAGUGGGCAGGAGAUUUUUCGUAUCACUGCUUAAGAUAUAGUCGAACCGCUGGGAGACCAGAUAUCAGGGAAGAUGGUGCUACGAGACAACCUGCCAACAUCUUUCGUUACGGGGGAGAUUGUGCCGGGCGCAGCACCUGAGAGCCUGGUAAGGACGGACUUGCGUGGAGGGGCAAGCCUUCCUGGAGGAGCUGUUGCUGUACCCAGCCCAGCAGGUCCUAUUUGAUGCGUGUGGGCCUGCUGCUGGGUCGUGGGGUAAGCACCGGCGCCAAAUUGCUAGUAGCUGGUUCCUGCCGAAGU
rnacentral:rRNA from 1 species